rnacentral:rRNA from 1 species
UUUCGGAGAGUUUGAUUCUGGCUCAGAACGAACGCUGGCGGUAUGGAUUAGGCAUGCAAGUCGAACGGGAUCUGAGAUGUUCAAGUAGCAAUAUGAGAAUAUUUCAGUGAGAGUGGCGAAAGGGUGAGGAACACGUGAGUGACCUGCCCCUAAGUUUGGAAUAACCUUUCGAAAGGAGGGCUAAUGCCAAAUGUGAAUAUUUCCCUGAUGGGGGGAUAUUUAAAGAUUUAUCUCUUAGGGAUGGGCUCGCGUCCUAUCAGCUUGUUGGUGAGGUAAUGGCUUACCAAGGCUAUGACGGGUAGCUGGUCUGAGAGGAUGGUCAGCCACACUGGGACUGAGACACUGCCCAGACUCCUACGGGAGGCUGCAGUCGAGAAUCUUCCGCAAUGGGCGAAAGCCUGACGGAGCGAUACCGCGUGAAGGAUGAAGGUCUUCGGAUUGUAAACUUCUGUCACUGGGGACGAAUAAAUGACGGUACCCGGAGAGGAAGUCACGGCUAACUACGUGCCAGCAGCCGCGGUAAUACGUAGGUGACUAGCGUUGUUCGGAUUUAUUGGGCGUAAAGGGUCCGCAGGGGGCCGGCUAAGUCUGAUGUGAAAUACCAAGGCUCAACCUUGGAACUGCAUUGGAAACUGGUUGGCUAGAGCAUCGGAGAGGAGAUUGGAAUUCCUGGUGUAGCGGUGGAAUGCGUAGAUAUCAGGAGGAACACCAAAGGCGAAGGCAGAUCUCUGGACGAUUGCUGACCCUCAGGGACGAAAGCAUGGGGAUCAAACAGGAUUAGAUACCCUGGUAGUCCAUGCUGUAAACGUUGUGAACUUGACGUGGGUGGAUUUAACCCCUUCCGUGUCGAAGCUAACGCGAUAAGUUCACCGCCUGGGGACUACGGCCGCAAGGCUAAAACUCAAAGAAAUUGACGGGGGCCCGCACAAGCGGUGGAGCAUGUGGCUCAAUUCGAUGCAACGCGAAGAACCUUACCUGGAUUUGACAUAUACUUGACAGCUGUGGAAACACAGUCUUUCGCAAGAACAGGUAUACAGGUGCUGCAUGGCUGUCGUCAGCUCGUGUCGUGAGAUGUUCGGUUAAGUCCGGCAACGAGCGCAACCCAUGUCGUUAGUUACUAACAGGUAAUGCUGAGGACUCUAGCGAGACUGCCCGUUACUAAGCGGGAGGAAGGAGUGGAUGACGUCAAGUCCGUAUGGCCUUUAUAUCCAGGGCUGCACACGUGCUACAAUGGUCGGUAUAAUGGGAUGCGAAAUCGCGAGGUGGAGCAAAUCCUCAAAACCGGCCCCAGUUCGGAUUGUAGUCUGCAACUCGACUACAUGAAGUUGGAAUCGCUAGUAAAGGCGUAUCAGCUACGACGCCUUGAAUACGUUCCCGGGCCUUGUACACACCGCCCGUCACAUCAUGGAAGCUAAUUGCACCCGAAGUCGCUGACUCAACUUGCAAAAGAGAGAGGCGCCGAAGGUGUGGUUAGUGACUGGGAUGAAGUCGUAACAAGGUAACCGUAGGGGAACCUGCGGUUGGAUCACCUCCUUUCUAAGGAG